rnacentral:lncRNA from 1 species
UUCACAAUAAUGAAAAUGGUCAAUAAAAAAAAGGAAAUAAAAUCAUAUUAUCUUAUUCACUAAUAAAAAUAGCACUAAAUCCUACCAACUAUUUUCAAAACAAAAUUAGACCGAAGCUCUUGCCAAAGGUAAAAAACUAUUGUUCUAACGCUAUGCAGUUGCAUUCUUCAAGUUCUUCGUGUGAAAAAAGUUGUCCUAAGAUCCUUGAGUGCAAGAAUCAGAGAUUUUGACAACAUCUGCAAAGUGUCACCUGCAAUAAAAAAUUUAUAGAGCCUUAGAUUUAUGAAAAAUUGCUUCUGAUAAAUAUAUAAUGAAGUAAAACUGCACUAUGUGUCAAAUAUCAUGUUCGAACAAUCAUUUCAUCAAAUAGAUCUUCAAGAGUUUGAUAAUAAAAAUACACCUCAUGCAGGCUUGAAAUGCAUCAAAUAUGCAUAUUACGGAGAGCAUAUCGAGAGAAGUUGAUUCACAAAGGAUAAUGCAAAAACCUGUAAAGUGCAACAACAACUUAUCAAUUAAACACUCAAAAAACCACGACUCCUACCAGAAAAGAACACAAAUAGAUCCACAUGUAUACAAAUUUCCAAAAAAGAAAAAAACACAAAGUUCUAGAUUAUCAAUGCAAGCACCAAAGACUACUAAUACCUUCUCAACAAAGAACAAAAGGGUCGCUGAUAUUUCAUAACACAAGCAUAAUAUCAUGGCAUGCAUUUUCAUCGACUCUUAUGAACAACAUUGUUUCCCAAGGCAUCAAUAAUCAUGCUAAAUUGGAAAACCAAAAAAGAAAACCAACUGAGAAUAAAUACUACCAAAUACCAAUAGAAUGUUCUUAUUAGCUAAAGAUUCAUGCACUUUGUAUAAACUGGAUACUUAAUUUUAUCAUAAAAAUAAUAUAUAGAGAAAAUAAAAAUAAUAUCUUGAUGGUUACCUUUCUUUGCAUUUUAAAUAUCACCAGUUCAAUGCAAUAAGUUCAUCAUUGCAAUGCCACUUUUAUAGCCUUGGCGAAGAGAUUUCUAUUACUCUAGUGAAACAGAAUGAUGGAAUAUUCCAACUGAAAACCAUGGAGAUAAUAAAUUCUUCUGUUGUAUAACUUAUUGCUUAUAGUUUCCAUGAGUAAAUAGGUGGAACUAAAUAGCACCAUGAAAGAGAGUGGAUAUCCCAUCGAACCAGUCCCCUGCAUAUGUAAGAAGAAAACAAGACAACAUUUAGGUUUCCUUGCUGGAAAGCAGAGAUAACAAACCUGUAAAUUGAAUAAGCAUCUUAAAUGAGUGGCUCAGUGCCUUCCCAGGAUCCCUUGCUUUCACCAAAAAAGAAGAGCUAAAUUGCAUUGCACUACACACCUCUCGCUAUAAACCUGAAAUUAGUACCGAGGACAGUGUAAUUGACGUAGUCAAUGAUUCAACAUGAAAUUCUCUAUUCCCUCACCAAGACUAAAAGGUAAAAUAAAUAAUACAAGAGACACAAAAAAGAAUGACAUCAAUAUAUAGAAAAUCAAGUAGUUUAAACAAUUUUUUUAAACACAUUGGCAAUUAUUAGUAAAUUUAAAUGUUCUUGGCAAGAGAUCAUGCUAUCCUAACAAAGACAUUUGAAAGCCAACUUCUAUGGUUUAGAAACUUGAAAAAACCAGCUUUAUCCAAGACAUAGAGAAUAUCAUUAUUGCUCAAGUAACAGAAACCAUGUGCAACAAAGUCCUUCAUCUCCAGCUUCUAUUAAUGGUUCAGGCUGAAAUAAAAUAAAAAUAAAAAUAAUAGCAGGAGGAAGAAAUUGGAUCAUAAAUUCAGUAAAUAUAAUAUUUCAUUCCACACUUCUAUAACUUACCUCAUGAAUCAAGACAUGCUUUACUGCAAUGCGAGAUUAAUAUAACACGAAUUGUAACCCUACUAGAAGACAAACCAAAUAAAUAUAUGAGAUAGUUCUAGAGCAAUAAUACUAAGUAUUCAUCAUUACAUUGAAAACUCAAUUUGUAUAAACAUCUAACUAGCUUCAAAGUAUACAAAAUUGCUAAAGACUGCAAAGUAUUACGAUAGUGGAAUUUGCAUAGAUGCAUACCUUAAUUCUCUACAAACGACAUCAACUUUCUAAACAAAACAAACUUCCUGAGGAUUCCAAUACCAUACUUCAACUUUCUAAAUAAUAUCAACAUCAAAUUUCUAUAUAUUAAAAAGGACGAUACCAGAGCAUACAUAAUACAUUUGCUGUUCAAUUCUGCCAAAAUCUUAGUCCUCUUAGAAUAAAAGAGAUAUCAAACACCAAACACCAACACUAAAAUUUUUCUUAGAGAAAAGGUAAUUAAAGGGAGAAUUUCAAUUCAUCAAAUACCAGUUAGAAUUCGAUAUAUAUCGCGAACCGAAAAUAAGUAAAAAUUCUCCCUGCUCAAGCUGUCGACCAACUGUAGUUGCUGCCCCCCUUUCGCUGCCAAAAUUGGUAACGCUAUUACCUCCUUUGGCCACAUCAGCCGCUUGUCGUUUGGUCGGAUCGGCACCGUGCACACCUGAAGUGUCGACCGCCAAAUGAUCUGCCGCUUGAACUAUAUAUCCACUUCGCAAUCUGCCAUCUUGCCUUCUUCAAAGCACAAACCCUUCCCCCUUUCACCAAUUACAUAUGUAAUAGGAUGAAAAUAAAGAUUUUGGCUGUGGCGUAAAUUGAAUUGAUAANGUUAACCUCUCAAAAUAAAAAAUAAAAAAUAGGGGUUAUGGCAAAAAAAAUAACACGAACUUACGAAAAAAGUUUUAAAUUUUCUACCUGAACUUUCAAUUAAGUAAAAUAUAUAUUAUAUAUAUAUAUAAAUUAAUAUUUUUAUUGCAAUUUUCACCUGAAUUUGAUUUUCGGCGAAAUCAAAGUUUAGUUGGCAGUCGGAAUUUCACUUGAUGUUGGUCUAACUUCUGAUGAUGAGUAUUUAGAAAUUCGGAGGUCCAAGAAGGAAAAAAUUAAUAUAUACGUACUUGACUUAAUUUCGACUAUCAAUUAAGCUCUAAUUUCGUUGAAAGUCAUUAAGUUAAACUUAGGUGAAAAUUACAAUAAAAAUAUAAAUUCGUGUAUCUUUUUGGCUUAAUUCACUACAACAAAAAUUGGUUUAAAUGACAUUUAAAAAUGUUGCAAUAAAUAGCUUAUUACAACAUUUUACUUUUCUCCACGGUGAAUCUUAAUGUCGCCUCUAUGAGUGUAGCUAAAGAUAAAAUUAGUUAUUGUGACACUUCUAAAUAGUCAGCAUAAAUUGAUAAGAAAAUCAGAUUUUAUAAAUAUAUUAUGACAUUAAUGAUGGGAAAAGGUGUAUAACCCAACGUUUGUUAGUGACUCUAUAAAUAUAAUAUAAAAACAUCUUUUUGACACUUUAAAACUUAAAAUGCAUAUACGCAGAUAUUCUAUAUCUCUGACUUCAUAAUUUAAUUUAUGUCAUACAAAAAAAUUAUCAACAUUAUUAAAACACAUGUUUAACAGAAAUAUAUAAAGAACAUAUAUAUAUUUCAAAUAUAAUUCAAAUUUCACAAUAAUGAAAAUGGUACAAUAAAAAAAAAGGAAAUAAAAUCAUAUUAUCUUAUUCACUAAUAAAAAUAGCACUAAAUCCUACCAACUAUUUUCAAAACAAAAUUAGACCGAAGCUCUUGCCAAGGUAAAAAAACUAUUGUUCUAACGCUAUGUAGUUGCAUUCUUCAAGUUCUUCGUGUGAACAAAGUUGUCCUAAGAUCCUCGAGUGCAAGAAUCAUAGAUUUUGACAACAUCUGCAAAGUGUCGCCUGAAAUAAAAAUUUAUACAACCUUAGAUUUAUGUAAAAUUGCUUCUAAUAUAUAAUGAAGUAAAACUGCACUAUGUGUCGAAUAUCAUGGUCGAGCAAUCAUUUCAUCAAAUAGAUCUUCAAGAGUUUGAUAAUAAAAAUACACCUCAUGCAGGCUUGAAAUGCAUCAAAUAUGCAUAUUACGGAGAGCAUAUCGAGAGAAGUUGAUUCACAAAGGAUAAUGCAAAAACCUGUAAAGUGCAACAACAACUUAUCAAUUAAACACUCAAAAAACCACGCUCCUACCAGAAAAGAACACAAAUAGAUCCACAUGUAUACAAAUUCCAAAAAAGAAAAAACACAAAGUUCUAGAUUAUCAAUGCAAGCACCAAAGACUACUAAUACCUUCUCAACAAAGAACAAAAGGGUCGCUGAUAUUUCAUAACACAAGCAUAAUAUCAUGGCAUGCAUUUUCAUCGACUCUUAUGAACAACAUUGUUUCCCAAGGCAUCAAUAAUCAUGCUAAAUUGGAAAACCAAAAAAGAAAACCAACUGAGAAUAAAUACUACCAAAUACCAAUAGAAUGUUCUGAUCAGCUAAAGAUUCAUGCACUUUAUAUAAACUGGAUACUUAAUUUUAUCAUAAAAAUAAUAUAUAGAGAAAAUAAAAAUAAUAUCUUGAUGGUUACCUUUCUUUGCAUUUUAAAUAUCACCAGUUCAAUGCAAUAAGUUCAUCAUUGCAAUGCCACUUUUAUAGCCUUGGCGAAGAGAUUUCUAUUACUCUAGUGAAACAAGAAUGAUGGAAUAUUCCAACCUGAAAACACAUGGAGAUAAUAAAUUCUUCUGUUUGAUAACUUAUUGCUUAUAGUUUCCAUGAGUAAAUAGGUGGAACUAAAUAGCACCAUGAAAGAGAGUGGAUAUCCCAUCGAACCAGUCCCCUGCAUAUGUAAGAAGAAAACAAGACAACAUUUAGGUUUCCUUGCUGGAAAGCAGAGAUAACAAACCUGUAAAUUGAAUAAGCAUCUUAAAUGAGUGGCUCAGUGCCUUCCCAGGAUCCCUUGCUUUCACCAAAAAAGAAGAGCUAAAUUGCAUUGCACUACACACCUCUCGCUAUAAACCUGAAAUUAGUACCGAGGACAGUGUAAUUGACGUAGUCAAUGAUUCAACAUGAAAUUCUCUAUUCCCUCACCAAGACUAAAAGGUAAAAUAAAUAAUACAAGAGACACAAAAAAGAAUGACAUCAAUAUAUAGAAAAUCAAGUAGUUUAAACAAUUUUUUAAACACAUUGGCAAUUAUUAGUAAAUUUAAAUGUUCUUGGCAAGAGAUCAUGCUAUCCUAACAAAGACAUUUGAAAGCCAACUUCUAUGGUUUAGAAACUUGAAAAAACCAGCUUUAUCCAAGACAUAGAGAAUAUCAUUAUUGCUCAAGUAACAGAAACCAUGUGCAACAAAGUCCUUCAUCUCCAGCUUCUAUUAAUGGUUCAGGCUGAAAUAAAAUAAAAAUAAAAAUAAUAGCAGGAGGAAGAAAUUGGAUCAUAAAUUCAGUAAAUAUAAUAUUUCAUUCCACACUUCUAUAACUUACCUCAUGAAUCAAGACAUGCUUUACUGCAAUGCGAGAUUAAUAUAACACGAAUUGUAACCCUACUAGAAGACAAACCAAAUAAAUAUAUGAGAUAGUUCUAGAGCAAUAAUACUAAGUAUUCAUCAUUACAUUGAAAACUCAAUUUGUAUAAACAUCUAACUAGCUUCAAAGUAUACAAAAUUGCUAAAGACUGCAAAGUAUUACGAUAGUGGAAUUUGCAUAGAUGCAUACCUUAAUUCUCUACAAACGACAUCAACUUUCUAAACAAAACAAACUUCCUGAGGAUUCCAAUACCAUACUUCAACUUUCUAAAUAAUAUCAACAUCAAAUUUCUAUAUAUUAAAAAGGACGAUACUAGAGCAUACAUAAUACAUUUGCAGUUCAAUUCUGCCAAAAUCUUAGUCCUCUUAGAAUAAAAGAGAUAUCAAACACCAAACACCAACACUAAAAAUUUUCUUAGAGAAAAGGUAAUUAAAGGGAGAAUUUCAAUUCAUCAAAUACCAGUUAGAAUUCGAUAUAUAUCGCGAACCGAAAAUAAGUAAAAAUUCUCCCUGCUCAAGCUGUCGACCAACUGUAGUUGCUGCCCCCCUUUCGCUGCCAAAAUUGGUAACGCUAUUACCUCCUUUGGCUUUCACCCACAUCAGCCGCUUGUCAUUUGGUCGGAUUGGCACCGUGCACACCUGAAGUGCCGACCGCCAAAUGAUCUGCCGCUUGAACUAUAUAUCCACUUCGCAAUCUGCCAUCUUGCCUUCUUCAAAGCACAAACCCUUCCCCCUUUCACCAAUUACAUAUGUAAUAGGAUGAAAAUAAAGAUUUUGGCUGUGGCGUAAAUUGAAUUGAUAAAAAUUGGGAAAGUUCUAGUUGUGUUGGUGAAAAAAAGAGACUUAAACACGUUGAUUAGAAAAAGUACAAAGGCGGUUAAUUCUUUUCUAUUUUUCCAAGUAAAAAAAAUGUAAAAAAAUUAGUGGGAGAGUUGGACUUGGCGCCACUUUAAAGUAAA